rnacentral:tRNA from 1 species
GCGGGAGUGGCGAAACUGGUAGACGCCCGGGACUUAAAGUCCUGUGCGCUUCGGCGCGUGCGGGUUCGACUCCCGCCUCCCGCACCA